rnacentral:rRNA from 1 species
GAUGAACGCUAGCGGCAGGCCUAACACAUGCAAGUCGAGGGGGAAGUUACUUUCGGGUAACAGAGACCGGCGUACGGGUGCGUAACGCGUAUACAAUCUGCCUCUCACUGGGGGAUAGCCCGAAGAAAUUUGGAUUAAUACCCCAUAGUAUAGUAAUACGGCAUCGUGAUACUAUUAAAGCUUAGGUGGUGAAAGAUGAGUAUGCGUUCUAUUAGUUAGUUGGAGAGGUAACGGCUCCCCAAGGCGAUGAUAGAUAGGGGUUCUGAGAGGGAUGUCCCCCACACUGGUACUGAGAUACGGACCAGACUCCUACGGGAGGCAGCAGUGAGGAAUAUUGGACAAUGGUCGGAAGACUGAUCCAGCCAUGCCGCGUGCAGGAUGAAGGUCUUAUGGAUUGUAAACUGCUUUUGUAAGGGAAGAAUAAGGGCUACGUGUAGUUUGAUGACGGUACCUUACGAAUAAGCAUCGGCUAACUCCGUGCCAGCAGCCGCGGUAAUACGGAGGAUGCGAGCGUUAUCCGGAAUCAUUGGGUUUAAAGGGUCUGUAGGCGGGCUGGUAAGUCAGAGGUGAAAGCGCUCAGCUCAACUGAGCAACUGCCUUUGAAACUGUUGGUCUUGAAUGGUUGUGAAGUAGUUGGAAUGUGUAGUGUAGCGGUGAAAUGCUUAGAUAUUACACAGAACACCGAUAGCGAAGGCAUAUUACUAACAAUUGAUUGACGCUGAUGGACGAAAGCGUGGGGAGCGAACAGG